GCCACCAUGUGGUUGCUGGGAAUCGAACUCAGGACCUUUGGAAGAGCAGGCAAUGCUCUUAACCGCUGAGCCAUCUCUCCAGCCCCCUUAAAACAUUUUUUAUGUAUUGACAUAUAUUGUAUUUAUAUAUUGUAUAUAUUUACCAUAUUGCAGUGUACUUUUCUACCUCUGAUUAAGAUACUUAUAUAUUGUUUGUGUAUUGAUAUAUAUUUACCAUAUUGCAAUGUAUAUUUGUACUUUGUUUAUAUUUGGAGGUCAUUAUCCUCAUUUGUUACACAGUUGUUUAUUGUCUUAGUCUUUAAGUUAGAUAGGUAUUGAGAAUUAUAUAGAUCAAUUGUAUUCUAAGUUUGUCAUUUAUAAUUAGACUAACCAGGUUCUUUAGAUACAAUCUUCAACCUCUUCAAAGAGCUGUAGAAAAUGGCCUUUAAUCUAACUCAGAGUUUCAUGGUAGUGAGACACAAUUGCUCCUGGCAACACCGCUCUAUUCCCAAGAGAAUGUUGAGCACCAAAGACACUCCACCUGGAGCCUUUCUUCUUGGCUGAACUGGCCUUGGGGCAAAGAAAUGCCCAUACCUCAACCACUGGCAGAGAUACAGAGUAUCUGUGAAUGGAAAGAACAGGACUGUCAUAUCCUGCCAAGACAAGGGUUUUUCAUGAUAAUGAGACACAUCUGCUCCUGGCAGCACCAAUCUACUUCAAGAAGAAGAUGGGCAUCGAAGAGGCACCUUAUGGAGUUUGAUAGUCAUUUGAGCAAGAAAAGAAACUGCUCUUGCCUGGACUGUUGCAUAAAAUGGACAGAGAGAGGACUGCUGAACUUGCCUAAAGGUGAGAUGGUCUUUUGGGGGUUCCUGAUUCAUGAAAGAGUCUGCAAGACAUUCUGCAGGACACAGCAGAAAGUGACUGAACUGCCUUUGGAAUUUUCCUGCUUCAUGGAAAUGUCUGCUGGAAACUAUGGGCCUGAAGGCCAAAGAUGGAUGCCCCAACGGUACAGAGGAACUUUGGGUGACUGUCCAGGCAGCGAGAUGUUUGUCAUUUCUAAAGUUUUGGACUUCUUGUUUGCUUAGGUAAUAUUAUAUUCUUCUGGAGUCUUUGAUGGAGUUGAAGAAUGGUUAUAGUUUUCCUUAGUUAUGAUAAAAGAUAAAGUAGAUAUAAAUAUUGUAACUAAUUCUUGCUUGAUAACUGUUCUGUUAUAUGUAAUCUUACUAUGUUAAAGUUAAAAGCCUUUCUUUUUUGUUUAAACAGAAAAAGGGGAAAUGAUGGAGGAAGGUCAUUGGUUAAUAAAGAGACUGCUUUGGCCCUGAUAGGACAGAAAAUUAGGUAGGUGGAAUAGACAGAACAGAAUGCUGGGAGAAAGAAGCCAAGUCGGGCAGUCGCCAUGAUUCUCCCACCCAACACAGACACAGGUUAAGAGCUUCCCUGGUAAGCCACCUCGUGGGCUACACAGAUUUUUAGAAAUGGGUUAGAUCAAUAUGUAAGAGCUAGCCAAUAAGAGGCUGGAACUAAUGGACCAGGCAGUGUUUAAAAGAAUACAGUUUCCGUGUAAUUAUUUUGGGUAAAGCUAGCCAGGUGGCGGGACACAGCCCCACCGUUCCUUACUACAGGUUUUAACUUUAACUUUAACAUCUAACAAAACAGGUAUUAAGCAAGAAUUACAGUUACAAUAUUUAUCCACUUUAUCUAAGGAAAACUAUAAUAAUAGCUAUCUAUUCUUCCAUCAAAGACUCCAGAAGGAUGUAAUAUUACCUAAGUAAACAGGAAGUACAUUGUAAGCAACUUCCAAAACUCUAGAAUUGACAUCUCACUACCUGGAUAGUCACCCAAAGUUCUUCUGUACCAUUGGGGCAUCCAUCUUCAGCCUACAGGCCCAUAGCAUCUGACAGACUUUUCCACAAAGCAGGACAUUUUAAAGACAGUUCCACCUAUAUUGGCAGUUUGUCAGUCACUUUCUUCUAUGUCCUCCAGAAUGUUCAGAAUACCAUCAAGCAGUCCAAGCAAGAACAGUUUCUUGCCCAAAUGGCUAGUAAACUCCUUAAGGAGCUUCUUUGAUGCCCAUCCUCCUCUUGAAGCAAUUGGUGCUGCCAGGAACAGAUGUGUCUUACUGUCAUGAAAAGCCCUAAGUUCUUAAAACAUUUUAAAUGCUAUAUUUAAGGUUUGAAGAAUGCCUAUCUAUCUGAAAUUUACCUCUGUACAUCUAGAAAACCUAACUAACAUGACUACAAGCUUGAUCAUUAUAGAUGGGUAUCUAUUAACCUGUAUUUCUUUUUUUAAAAAAAAGAUUUAUUUAUUGUGUAUACAACAUCCUGCUCCAUGUAUGCCCACAUGCUAGAAGAGGGCGCCAGAUUCAUUACAGAUGGUUGUGAGCCACCAUGUGGUUGCUGGGAAUUAAACUCAUGACCUCUGGAAGAGCAGCCGGUGCUCUUAACCACUGAGCCAUCUCUCCAGCCCUAACCUGUAUUUCUUAAUUAUAUAUUACAUUUUUAAAUGAGCUUCACAAACAUAAUACCUUAAUCAAGAUCAAAAAUACAUAUACACAAUAUAACAAAAUUGACCUUGAAUUUGUAUCAAUAAACCAAGAUCCAUACCCAUGUUAAAUCUCUAUAGCAUAUCCCCCUUUAAAUGUAAACAAUAUUUGGGAAUUUGGUCAUAGUACUCUCCAUACUGCUUCCUGCUGUUUAUUGGGUGAAGUAAUUUUUUGAGGGGUGGUCAAAGUGACCUUUAAGGGGCUCUUGGUCCAUCAAGCCAUAUUAGUCUGGAAGCAAUCCACAGGUUUUCAUCUUCUGUGGAAGCAAAAGAACCUCUUUUCCAAGCAACAUAUACUUAGACCCAUAUUUUGAUACCUUUAAAGUAUAUUUGUUGGUUACUUAGCUCCUUCACAAUCAAAAACUUCAAAGAAAACACAAUAAUAUACACAAUCCAGGCUCAAUGCAGGACGGUCAAUGGAUGUGUUAAAGGCAUUUGGGGUCCAUUGCUAGGAAAUACUGACUUUUACAUUGCUAAAUGUUUUUCUGGAUGCACGGAGCAACGAAUAGCUGAAGAAAGUGAGCAGGAACACGGCAGCCCAGUGAUGGCUGAAGUCGGUGAGCAGAGACCACGGCAGCCCAGUGAUGGCUGAAGUCGGUGAGCAGAGACCACGGCAGCCCAGUGAUGGCUGAAGUCGGUGAGCAGAGACCACGGCAGCCCAGUGAUGGCUGAAGUCGGUGAGCAGAGACCACGGCAGCCCAGUGAUGGCUGAAGUCGGUGAGCAGAGACCACGGCAGCCCAGUGAUGGCUGAAGUCGGUGAGCAGAGACCACGGCAGCCCAGUGAUGGCUGAAGUCGAUUAUGGCACAAGAUGUGGAAUCUACUCUAUUGACCUGCACAACACCAUGGACGCCUGAGAGAUCUCUGCAGAACAGAAACCCCUUUGUCUGCUGAAACUGAGUUUCACUGAAUCACACCAUGCUGGCUGGUGGUAGCAGAAAGACAAAAGCAUUCUAAUCAUGUACGGCUGAAGAUUGAUCCACAUCAUCUCUUUCUACCAGUUCCUAAACUACUUGUAUCAUGUACAGGACAAACCUGAAAGUGGAAUUCAUUAUUCGGAAUUUCUAGAAAGCAGGCCUUUACCUUUUCCAGCUCAUUUUCCCACCGCACAUCACAGUGGACAGUGACAUCACAAGCAUCAGAUCCUCCCAUGCUGAGACUGCAGAGCCUCCCCCUCCCCAGGAUUUCCCACACAAGGAGGCUCACAGGACAAGGUUCACUGCCCGGGUCAUUACAUGGACCAACAGAACCACAGUCUGGCUCACGGUCCAUUCAAGCCCCAGCAGAAAUGAUAGCACAGCAAACCUGCUCUGAGCACCCCACACUCACCAUGGCAUGGCUUGUGGUCUUUCUUACAACUCCCUAUGGUCCAAGAAAGGGCCUGCAAGCUAGUUUUCCUACUGCUAAGCCUUGCCAGAGUCCCUCCUUAGCUAGGGCCACCCAUCUGGACCCCAGAAUAUCAGCACCUCCCCUACCGGGUGAACAGAGAUCUAAUGUCUCAGACAGCACAGGCCUUCCCAGCUCUGCCCUUCCAGCCCAGCAGACAGAGCCCUAUCUGAAAAGUUUGUACUAGAGUAGACAUUCUUCCACGCUCCCGGAGCACUUUCUGUUCCUUGUUCAAGGCACAGGGUCCUUUGUGUGUAGAUCGCAGUACACACUCGGUGUCCAGUGCAGUCAACCCUUUGAUUCCUAGCUGGGAAGUCCUGCAGCUAAACAUAGGUCACAUUCAAACAGUGACGGUUGUCAAAGGAAAAAAGAGGCCAUGAGUUAGAAAACAAUGAGGGGUCAUGGUAGGGCUUUGGGAGCAAGAAAGAAACUCUGGAGAUGAUGCAGUUUUUAUCUCAAAUAAUUAUUUUGAAAAGCUGAAACAGGCUUUAGUGCCAUAAACUCCAGAGUCGAGGGAUUUGGGUAUGAGCACACCAAGGACUGCUCACACCUUCCUCUCAGCCUGCGCAUCUUAAACCCGGAAAGUAGCAGUCCUGUAGACAGGGUAACAACUUCUUACAAAGACCCUCUAUUUUGGCUAAACUAGUGUAACUGCAGUAAUUUGGUUACGCAGAUUCCUGAUUGCCUUGGACUGUGGACCUCCAGAAAUGGCCACAUGAAAUAUUUAUGAAGCCUCUAAGAUUGGUUACCUGACUCCCCAUUGUUAAUAUCAACUACUGCCAAAGCAGGAAAGCUCUCCCCUCCUUCCUGCCAUUCUUUCUUUCUUUCUUUCUUUCUUUCUUCCUUCCUUCCUUCCUUCCUUCCUUCCUUCCUUCCUUCCUUUCUUUUCUUUCUUUCUAAAGAUUUAUUUAUUUAUUAUGUAUACAACAUUCUGCCUGCAUGUAUGCCCACACGCCAGAAGAGGGCACCAGAUCUCACUGCAGAUGUUGUGAGCCACCAUACAGUUGCUGGGAACUGAACUCAGGACCAGCUGGUGCUCUUAACCACUGAGCCAUCUCUCCAGCACCCUGCCAUUCCCUUUCUGUGCUGUGACUACAUCAGAUUCAGAGUUGAUCAGUGACUCAGUUCUGGCACAGGUCCUUCUUCAUCUGUAACUCCCCAGGAAAAGUCAGAGAGGUUGGAGGACACUUAUUCCCUGGUCUCUUAUCCUUCUCACUGACCAGUCAAGGCCCAGCCUGCAAGGAGUUGCAGGACUGUCUUCCCAGCACUGGGCAGCAGAGGCAGGAUUAGGUGUUCAAAGCAAUUCUCUCUCUCUCUCUCUCUCUCUCUCUCUCUCUCUCUCUCUCUCUCUCUCUCUCUCUCUCUCUCUCUCUCUCUCUCUCUCUCUCUCUCUCUCUCUCUCUCUCUCUCUCCCUCUCUCUCUCUCUCUCUUUUGUUUGUUUGUUUUUCGAGACAGGGUUUCUCUGUAGCUUUUGAAGCCUGUCCUGGAACUAGCUCUUGUAGACCAGGCUGGCCUAGAACUCACAGAGAUCCACCUGCCUCUGCCUCCCGAGGCUGGGAUUAAAGGCGUGCGCCACCACCGCCCGGCUCAAAGCAAUUCUCAACUUCAUAGCUCCUGGGCUGUAGGAAAUACUGCUCUCAAGAGAAAUAAAUAAAUCAAUAGCACUUGAGAAAAAAAG